AGGGUUUGAUCAUGGCUCAGAACGUACGCUGGCGGCACGCCUAACACAUGCAAGUCGAACGAAGUAGCAAUACUUAGUGGCAGACGGGUGAGUAACAUGUAGGUAUCUGCCCUUUGGCCUGGAAUAACACGAGGAAACUUGUGCUAAUACCGGAUAAGUCUUUACGGAGAAAGCUUUAUGCACCAUUGGAUGAGCCUGCACUUGAUUAGUUUGUUGGUGGGGUAAUGGCCUACCAAGACUGUGAUCAAUAGCUGAUUUGAGAGGAUGAUCAGCCACAUUGGGACUGAGACACGGCCCAAACUCCUACGGGAGGCAGCAGUGGGGAAUCUUGCACAAUGGAGGAAACUCUGAUGCAGCGAUGCCGCGUGAGUGAAGAAGGCCCUUGGGUUGUAAAGCUCUUUCGUCGGGGAAGAAAAUGACUGUACCCGAAUAAGAAGGUCCGGCUAACUUCGUGCCAGCAGCCGCGGUAAUACGAAGGGACCUAGCGUAGUUCGGAAUUACUGGGCUUAAAGAGUUCGUAGGUGGUUGAAAAAGUUAGUGGUGAAAUCCCAGAGCUUAACUCUGGAACUGCCAUUAAAACUUUUCAGCUAGAGUAUGAUAGAGGAAAGCAGAAUUUCUAGUGUAGAGGUGAAAUUCGUAGAUAUUAGAAAGAAUACCAAUUGCGAAGGCAGCUUUCUGGAUCAUUACUGACACUGAGGAACGAAAGCAUGGGUAGCGAAGAGGAUUAGAUACCCUCGUAGUCCAUGCCGUAAACGAUGUGUGUUAGACGUUGGAAAUUUAUUUUCAGUGUCGCAGGGAAACCGAUAAACACACCGCCUGGGGAGUACGACCGCAAGGUUAAAACUCAAAUGAAUUGACGGGGACCCGCACAAGUAGUGGAGCAUGUGGUUUAAUUCGAAGAUACGCGCAGAACCUUACCAACACUUGACAUGUUCGUCGCGACUCUAAGAGAUUAGAGUUUUCGGUUCGGCCGGACGAAACACAGGUGCUGCAUGGCUGUCGUCAGCUCGUGUCGUGAGAUGUUGGGUUAAGUCCCGCAACGAGCGCAACCCUCACUUUUAGUUGCCAUCAUUAAGUUGGGCACUCUGAAAGAACUGCCAGUGAUAAGCUGGAGGAAGGUGGGGAUGACGUCAAGUCCUCAUGGCCCUUACGUGUUGGGCUACACACGUGCUACAAUGGUAUCUACAACAGGAAGCAAGACUGCGAAGUUAAGCAAAUCCCUAAAAGAUACCUCAGUUCGGAUUGCACUCUGCAACUCGAGUGCAUGAAGCUGGAAUUACUAGUAAUCGUGGAUCAGCGUGCCACGGUGAAUGCGUUCCCGGGUCUUGUACACACCGCCCGUCACACCAUGGGAGUUGGUUCUACCUUAAGGCAAGGUUUCAAACCCUUGACCACGGUAUAGUCAGCGACUGGGGUGAAGUCAUAACAAGGUAGCCGUA
rnacentral:rRNA from 1 species